CAAAAAUCGCUCGGCUGCAUUUUCUCUUCAAACUGGCCUGGUCGGAUGUGGCAUUUGAAGAAAGAAGGCGUGGGUCAAUAAUCAACCCGCACUUUCUCCUCCAAACUGCUGACACGACUCUCACCGCCUUCUCAGCUAAGCCAGCUGCAGGGAAGGCCAGCUUUCCGUGAGAACCUGCCAGGGGAGGGGACCGCCUGGGCCAAGAGGGCCGAGGGUUCCGAGGUGAGGGCUGGGGCAUCUGGGGCGCAUACCUUUUCACCCGCACCAAGACUGUGCUGGGCAAAAUGCUGGGACUGGACUUGAAGAGCCAUGGGAGUUGAGGGAGAGCUGGGGUGGGAGCUUGGGACAGGGUCUCUGCUGGAUGGUCCCAGACUAGAUGGCUUCCGGGCAGCUGGCUGCAGUGGGCACAAAUCUGGCUCUGACCUCAAGACUGGUCUCACACCCUGGCAUGCAGACCUCCGGGUUUGGGCCUCUCUGCUGAAAUCCACAGGACUGGCUUUUAGAGCAAGGCAGGUGAUGUGAUUAAAGGUAAUAAUUUAUGAUUGCUGAAGGUUCUGUGUUACUGUUUUUUAAGAGAAAAAUACCGCCUGCCGAUUUUCACUGCCAGAAAUUGCCCACUGCUGCGGCUGCGGUGUCUUUUCUAGGCAAAUCCCGCAGCCAUUCACCCUGUUCAGCCAAAACCACUGAGGUUAUCUUUGUGGAAAGGACCCCUUUGCUCCCCCAAACCCCCCUCCUCAGUCCCUGUGCUCCCUUAUGUCUUGCCCACGGGGACUAGAAGAAAACAUUUUCCCAGUGCUAGAAAAAUAUCUGAAAUAGCGAAGGUGUGCUUGUGCCUCUCUACCCUUUGCAGGGGCCUCCUUGAGAACAGGUCUGCGGGUUGGGGGGGGGGGCGCUGGGGUCCCUGCAAGGCUGUCUAUAAGCCAGGGAGGAAGGUAAGGCACAAGAGGCACUGAAAUCUGGGAAUGGAGAGGGAAAUUAAUGAGGAAAUACACUUGCCUGUGAGGUUGAGGCUGGCAUUUUGAGGGUAAAAGGGGACUAGCCUGUUUUUUAUAGCUGUAGUUUAGCUAUUAUGGAGUGGCUUUAGCUCCUUGCGUGAAGGAAAAACCAACUGGUGCUCUAUAAACUGGACUACUGGUUUCUUUUCACUGUGCACACUUUUAUACAGAACCAGUUUGAGAGUCCAUCCCUAGAUAUUUAUUCCGCUGGCUGGCACUGAAGUGACAAUAAAAAGAUGCCUUUAACAAACCUCUAUUCCCUCUCUCAUUCUUUCUAGCGAAACUAUAUUAUUUAUGAGUCUUUAACUGGGUCAAAAAUGCGCCAGAACUGGGUCAUAAAUCAUAUGAAAUGCUGACAAGUAAUUGAACAGCAAUUAAAGCUUACAUUUUAUUUCCAAGGGGUGUUUUAGGGCACUUGAAACCGCCUCAGUUAAACACGGUUAGCGCCCGAGGACGGCAGCGGGGGAGGGUAGAAGCAGCCUUUCCCUUCUGGGGAUGUAAAUCCCUCUCUAGUAGGGGAAACCUGAUUUGAUUUUUUUUUUUCAAGUACAGAAAGAAAUAAGAUUUUUUUUUGUUUAAGUCACGGAGAAAAUCUGAUUCCCGACUCCUUGUAGACACCCCUUUCCUCCACCCCAAGAUCUCCAAGAGCAGAGAAAAGUGAAGUUUCCUUCACCGUUUCAGGGAGUUUUCAUCCUUCCCAGGAGUGCUGGGUCUCCAAAGUGCAAUUAGCACAGGCUUUCCCAGUAAUUUGCAAGCAUGGUUUAUCUCUCAUCUGCUUCUAUCCUGGCUACAGCACUGUUUCUGGGGUCUGAAGCCGGAGAAAUGUCUGCCUCUGCUUCCUGCGGACUCUGCCUCGAAUUCUCUCUAGCCCAGGGUGCACCAGCCAGUCCUUAAAACUCUGCAAGCCAGCUGGGUGCAUUACAAUGGGGCAUACAGGCCAUGCACAUUAUGAAGCCCAAACCCAGUUCUGGCUCCCGAAAUUUAGACUAACAGAGCUUCUGGGCGUCGGGCACGCUUACCCCUAUCCUAAGCCUCUCCUAGAUCUGAACUGUCUUCACCCCUACCCGGGUAGAGUCCUGGGGAAACAAUGGCGCGUCCUCCGUCCUCCGGGUCUUGCACCUUCGGUCCCGCGCGUGGGAAAGCGCGUCCUCCAACCAACCCAGCACUGAACAAAGUGGCCUGAAGCAUCAUCAAUAAAAUGGCAGCGCGUCUGCACACUCAUUGAUUUCCCUCUCCCAGCUGCUCUGGCUGCCUAGGUCAGCCCUACCUCUCCAUCCCUGGCCGCCAGCAAACGCGGCCAAGCCUGGAGAGAUUCCCCUUCCCAUCCACCCAGCCCCCACCCCCUCCAGGCCGUCUCGCCGAGCAAGCGCCGCGCGGGCCACCUCGGCCAGAGCCGCUGCUUCGGGACCCUCCCUCCGCCUGCGGCUCAGCUCCUGGGACUCAAGCCCCGCUGCAGUGGACAAAGCCGCCAGAGCGCUGGAGGCCACCGGGCUCACCUCGCAGCCCCCAAGCGCCCUUUCCUUUACAUCCCCCUACACUUUCCAGAGAAUUAAACUCAGUCUGAGGUGCUACUGGAGAUCUUUCAGAUGGUUUCGGUUCUAUGAGAGAAACAAAGGAAGAGAGGGGCUGAGGGUCCUGUCGGUGAACCAGGGUCUCCUCGCCUGACCUUUGUCUCUCACAGCCGUAACUCACUCUAAAUAUGAACAAUCGGCGGAAAUACCUUAAAAUAAAUUCCAUCCUCCUGGUGUGGCCUCGAGUCCCAUCGGCUAGCUCGCCCAGAACCGCUCCAUGAGCGCUGAAAACUGCAACCCGCUAGGAGAGCGCUCUCCGGAGAAGGGGAAGGAGAAGGAGGAGGUGGGUGCGUGGGGGUGGGGGGAAAAAGCUCUCGCUCUGUAGAGAAUCUAGAAAACGUAAUCACAGGCGAAGCCCGCCCGGGUCUCCGCUCCAAAUGCCACAAUAAUGCGCUGUAUUAUGUGCUCACGUGGUCAUACGUCAACUUAAAUCCUUUUAUUUGAAAUAGGAAAUCACUGAAGGGACUAGGUUUCCAAGCAGAACAUUCAGCUUUGGGGGAGGGGAAGUGGGGAACCUUGCCCAGCAGUGGGGAAGAGUUUCAUCUAGGGCAGUAGGACGCUGGGGGCACCCCCCCCCCAACAUGUGCCACACUGGGCCACUUAUCUCCACUUAUAUUUCUGUACAAAUGAUCCAAACAGCAAUGCUGUCCCCAUUCUCAGAGUCUAUGUAACUUUCUGUACAGUCUUCCACACGCAGACAAGCUGAAGCCUGCACACCCAAGCACGCCAGUCUCCUCUGGCCUGCUAGCCAGUACGUCAAAAGGCAAGGCCCGGGCCCUGUUUCCAGAAGAAAACCCAGUAAUGACUGGCUUAGUCAGUGGACUCCCUCAUGGCCUGCCAUUGUAUGGAGUUUGCUACCACCCACGCCAAAAGGCCCCAAAUUACCUGACAAAAGGCUAAGUUGAUUUUGUUCAAUGGGAGCCCUCUAGGGAAGAGGUGCUUGCCUCUAGAGUGGUGGGUCAGGGUUUUGCAAAAUCUGGAGGGACUCAGUGCCCUGGCUAAACCUACACUUGCGUACUUCCUCAGUGCACAGCUGAGCGAUACAUGAAAUUAUAGGCUUCUAACAAUGGAAAAUGUAAGGGGAAAUGAUCUAAUUGACUCUGUAAGAGAAAAACUAUAUAUACAACCAAUCUUUGCUGGCAUCCCUUGAAUUAACCUACAAGGUAACCUGGGACCCUUUUGCAGAUGGGUCUGUCCACCCUCCCCUAAGACAAGUCUGUCCACCAGCAGAAAAUGAACAGGACCAACUCUGCUCUGGAGCAACUGAGCUGAACCAACCCCCCCCCCCCCGGCCCUGCCCUGCUUCUACUCCUGACUUCUGCUUGGUGACACUGUCUACUGAUUGUAACACUUCACCCUCUCAGGACCUGCCUUAAAAGUUUCUCUUUUCAGGUCUUAGUUUCUGAACUUCUUAGUUUCUGAAGUGGUGGGCUCCUGGUGCCUUAUUCUUUUCUUUCUUUAGAGUGGAUCUUCAGCUGGCUAGGCCUCUCUAAGAGUGAGGACUCACUUAUAGCAGCUACAGGAUUCCUCCUCCUCCUCUUCUGCCCUGCAGGGGCCUAGUGAGAAUGUAAGGCCCUCAGUAAGGGGGCCUGGUCACGGGGGUGUCCAAAUCAGAAGGGCAAUAAAAGAGGAGGAGACCUAAUCCUUUGGAAGUGAGCCCUGGCCUACGCUGGUGGCAGUAUUCCAACAAAGUUCUGUCUGUGGUAGAGCUGGGAGAGAACCUCUCUGUGAACUGACCCAACUCUGACCUAAGCCACAAGCUGGAAAGUGAGAACCCAAAGUGCAAACCUACUUCUCUCAGGUAUGGGGUGUGGGGGAUAGAACCAAAGGCCGGUUUCCCAAAAAGCACUCUGCCGUCCCCCAAGGACUCACACAACUAACACAUUGUCCUCUGCUCCCCUUAUGCAGUCCCCCCACCCUGCCUGUGCCAAAUAUUUCACACCGAACUCUCCAGGUAGCCUAGAAAGGACCUGGAAGUAUUGCCAAAUUGCUGGCAAACUCCCAUCUCCCCCAACCAAAGUUUCUGCAGAGACUUCAACUCAAAGAUGAGAAGGGGCCCCCUUCAGAACUCUCAGAACAGUCUGGAGCAAAUCGUAACUCCGAGGCCAUAAAUCAAUGAGAGAAGUAUUUGGUACUGCUUCAGAGAAAUGCCUUAACGCCAGGAAGGCCCAGCGGCAUCUCGGCUCUAGCCAGGAGCCUCCAUUGCCGCUAUUAACAGCCCAGUUAAUGCUCCAACUGCUGUUUAACAAUUAACAUUAACGACUUGGGUUGGAAUGGGGUGAUUUGGUGGGAUGUGGAGGAAAAAAUCUGAGGAAGUCAAAAGAAAUUUAACUUUUGAGGUGAAAAUGGCUUUCCUAAGAGAGACCUUGGUCUGGGCAGGCCACCAGGGAACCAGCAGCUGAGAGUCCUCCCUCACCACUCUGAAAUCCACUCUCCUUGAACAAGGCUAUGGACCUUUUAAAGUUCAUUUCCAGAGAACGAGAAUAGAGAUACUCAAGUAUCGAAGCCCAGCCGGGAAAAUCUAGCUACCGGUCCCCCCUUCCACUCCAGCCCCCAACCUGGCCAGGGCUGGGGACACAUGCCCUGAAUCCAUUUCACCAGAGCCAAAAGUUGUCUUGGAAGGAGCAGGUGAGCAUGGAUACAGGGCUUUAGUCAAUAUUUGCAAGGCUGUUGGCAGAUUAGAUAUAUCUGUAUCCAAACACUGCAAUCUGAUUUCUCUGUCAAAAAUACACUUAACAUUUUUCUCCCUUUAGUUAGCUCUAGUGGUUUUUCUUAGUGGCUGGUAAGGCCUGCUUAGCCCACUUUUGUCUGUGUGUGUGUGCGUGUGUGUAUGUGUAUGUGUGUGUGUGUGUGUGUGUGUGUGUGUGUGUGUGUAUGUAGGUUAUAUAUCAUUAUUUAACAUGAGAUAUUUCCUGUGGGUGCAACUGCAGUACAAAUGGGCUCCAAGUUCUCUGGACACAUAUGGAUGUGUAUAUCAUUUUAUACACAUGGUCUCCAACUCCUGUGACUAUGUACACAUGCAGUGAUUCUGUUGUGUGCAGAGAUUCAAAUCAUAUGUACACAGUGAGUUGCAAAUUCCUAAAAUACUCAACCUAUAUUUGAUAAUAAAUAGACAUACAGGAGCUGAGAAAGUAACCCAGGUUUACUAUCCCCCUGUUUACCUUCUAUCUGAUAAGAUAAUAAUUGUAUCCAGAACAACAUAUCAGCCUUACAGCAUCACUGAAUAGCAUGUUGCACUUAAUUAACAACCUGAUAUCUAUUUGGGGAGCAAAUUUUAGGGAAGACUGAGGCCCGCGGAAUAGAAAACAAAAACUCAGAAAACUUUUUAAAAUAAAUAACUCCUGAAAGAACAAAGCAAACCCAUUCCUUCAUACCAAGCUUCUGAAAGCUAUUCCAACAGCCCCUCCCCCAAACAGGCACAAAAUUUAUGGAUCUUUUACAAGGUAAUAAACCACAGUAAUUACCUCCCUGCAUCCCAAACUAAGAGAACAAAUUAAGCCAGAACUUGGAAAGAAUUUUAAAGAGUCUUCCCUUGUUUCCAGUAGGAAAAGAAAACGCAGAGACCUGGGAAACGCGUGCUUUUCCCGUAGGAAAAAGAGCAGUUCCGCCCACCUAAAGGAACGGAGAAGACCCGCUGCCUGCGACGGUCUACACAUUCGAAAGGCAGCAACCUCCCUCAUGCCGCGGAAAGGCAAAAGGAUAGGAGAAACUGCAAGGCGGCGAGACAAGUUUCCUCAACGCAGAUCUGUGACUGACGACCAUUCCCGAACUCACAGUCUCCGCGGGCGCCGCAAACAGUCGAC
rnacentral:lncRNA from 1 species